ACGGGAGGCAGCAGUUGGGGAAUAUUGCACAAUGGGGGAAACCCUGAUGCAGCGACGCCGCGUGAGCGAUGAAGUAUUUCGGUACGUAAAGCUCUAUCAGCAGGGAAGAUAAUGACGGUACCUGACUAAGAAGCCCCGGCUAACUACGUGCCAGCAGCCGCGGUAAUACGUAGGGGGCAAGCGUUAUCCGGAUUUACUGGGUGUAAAGGGAGCGUAGGCGGUACGGCAAGUCAGAAGUGAGAGCCCGGGGCUCAACUCCGGGAUUGCUUUUGAAACUGUCGAACUAGAGUGUCGGAGAGGUAAGUGGAAUUCCUAGUGUAGCGGUGAAAUGCGUAGAUAUUAGGAGGAACACCAGUGGCGAAGGCGGCUUACUGGACGAUAACUGACGCUGAGGCUCGAAAGCGUGGGGAGCAAACAGGAUUAGAUACCCUGGUA
rnacentral:rRNA from 1 species